ensembl:lncRNA
GCUCUCCUUACCCCAUGCCUCCGGGGCUCCCCAGGCAUUUUGGGUGCUAUUGUACACUGUAUUUAAUGCAUGUCCCUUUGAGGAGAGAGACAGAGGAGUGCUGAGCGAUAUUGUUAUAAACAAACCUUUAGCUCAGUGGAGUUGUUUGUCAGGCUUGAGUUCCUCAUCCUGCUUGUUUACACAUAGGCAGACACACACACAUACAUACACACACUUAAAUAACUUCUGCCGCUUAGAGCUCCAUCACUCCCUUUGUCCUUGUAUCCUUUCCUCUAAUGUUUAUGACCCGUUUUCAAAGGCAUGUGCUGGUAUCUGAUGAUCUGUGUCUCUUCAAGUCUGUGCACAGACACGCAAUCCCGCUGCCUGGCAGUGCUUCCAGGGACAGCCGUCCUGCCGGCUCCCCUCCUCUGCCCCUUUCCGUGGAUAAAAAUGACUGAUGGAGCCCAUUACUUAUCUAUCAGAUAAUAGAUCUACUUCAACACAGAUUCCUUAUGAAACUCUCUCUUAGCAAAAUUUUUUUCUGGAUGUAGAGGAGGCGUUGGACUAAAACGUUGCUUUCCUGGGUGAGUCAAUUUAGCAUUUAAAUUCUUUCUCUCUACUGACUUCUUUUGUGGAUAAUUGGUCCUCUAUGUACAGCAGAAUUGAGCUGAUCCAUACUUUUGUGGUAAGGAAAAAGUCAUUUUUGUAGUAAAAAUUCCUCCCCAUAAGGCUGACAGCAUCAUGGCUUGUGAACGUGAUUAAGAUGUGUUCUGCAGAAUCCUGACACCUGAACUGGAAGGUGGUGCCACCAAAGGGACUGAGUUACUUUCUGUUUGUUCUAAAGCUUUGCCAGUGAUUAGGAGGAGAGAAGAAACUGUUUUGUAGCUUUGGCCCACAUUUCAGUGCACUGUGCCCUGUUACACUGAAUGCAGAACAGUUCAAACCCAGGAAAAAUGUGAACCAGCAGCAAGAGGCUUGGCUCAUUUCUGUGCUCAUGGCUGUGCUUCUGCUCUGUCUCUGCGGUUCUUGGAUUCCAUUUGCACAUUGUACUUCCCAGCUGCACCAAACCCAUGCAAAUGCCUCCAAACCCAGUGAAAAUAUGGUUUGCUUGCCAGUUCACGAUGCUUUUUUGACAAAAGGAAAGAUGCUUCCAGAUGAAAUUCCAAGACCUCACUCCCAGGCCAACAUUUCUCUCACAAGGAAUUCACAAACUCUUCGAGGUACAACAUCUGGAGCUCGGCAGCUGUGGCAGGGCCUGGUUAUCAGACAGACAGCUUCCCACCCUGGGAAAGGCAGGCUGAGCUGGCAGCCCCGUACUUUCCUGGCUCUCUCUGCAGACAGCAGGAUGUACUUGAGGGCUCCUGGAGGGCCCAGCACUCACACAAAGCCCUCCCAGCACUGCAGAUGGACCCCCUUCCCUUCACAUCCCAUCCCAUGCCCGUCAGCUCCUCAGGACCUGCCCUUCACCUUCCCUGCACCAUGUGGCAUUUCUUCUUCACUCCUUUUCCUUGCAGACUGAUGUGCCCAUUCCCUGGCACUCUGAGAAGCAGAUAGAGGCUGCAGCGGCCGUUUUCUAUGUAUCUUUGUGGGGGAUGUAUAGAUGGCUACAGAUUUCAGUUUGGCAAAACUCCCAGACAUAGCUUUUGCAGAAGUAUAUAUGACUGAAACAACCUAAAAAUAACCCGGUGGCAUCACAGAGUGUGUGUGAAGUUGGGAGAUGCAGAUGCAGAAGGUGCAGACCACUUCCCUACGUGCAUCCAUGUCUCAGGGAACGCCUCUGUGGUGGUGUGGCUCCAACCUUGGUCUUUGUGCCUUCCUGGUCUGAAGGACUUGGCUUGGGAGAUUGCUCCUUCUUCACUCCACUUCAGGGAGUGGCUGAUGGAGGGUUUUGCUGAACACUUUGUACAUCUGAAAUGAGCUCCCUGAGAGGUACACAGUUUUGCAAAAAGGGGGGUGCUGGUUGACCCCAGCCAGCAGCACCUCUUCAGCAGUGACCAAGGUCCCAUGUGUGGGCAGUGCAGCACGGAGCAGAGCCAGGGCUCCCUGUCUUAGGACCUUGCUCUUCACAAGCAUUGUGAAGUGCUCAAAAACAUCCAGCUGCUCUCCUGUGCAAUUAGUUCUAAUAUUAUCUGCUUUAGAGAAAUAGAUUGAAAUUAGCUUCAGCAGGUUUACCUUCAUUUGUAAUGGCAGCGCCUGAGAAUCAGCAAAGUUCUCCACAAAUCCAAUGCCCCAAAUGAAUAUAUGAAUAUAUUGAGAAAUUAGCAUGAAAUGGACUACAUAGCAAACUUAUUUCACGUCUCCAGACAAUGACAAAUGAAAAUCAAGAAUCUCUGCAGCUUCCUGGAAGAAAAAAAGAACAUCUUAUUGAAUAAAUUACGCUUGAAAAGGCAGCUGUGUUUUCUUAAUGGUCAGAGAUUGAUUCUCAGGACCAGAAGCCUGAACCAGCAAGCAAAGUACCUGCUUCUGUCUGCCCCAUCCUGACGGUUCGUGGCAGCAGAGCUGAGUAAAUAAUCCUCAGAAGAUAAUUUACUCACACAAAAGCUUUCUUUUCUUUUUUUUUUUCCCUGCUUACCAAAUGUCAGUACCUUGAUUGUGGCUUCCUCUAAUUUAUUUGUAAUUCAAAUUUAGUUGUUCAAUUUAUUAUCUUUCUUCUUUUCCAACAGGUUAGAUAGACUGUGAAGGGUCUGCUGCAAGUAUUUCAACCUGUCUGUUUCUAAGAGGGCUGAGUUCAUCACCAACUCCACUACGCAGGGCUGGGUUUUUCCUCCCUCUGCAUCAGUGCAGGAUCAGGAAAAGUUGUUUGGGUUGCUGCUAAUAGGUUUUGUUCUGCUGGAGGAGGUUUGCUUCAGUCCUGGGAAAGCAAUGAUACCACAAGGUCUGCUGUGUAUGAGCACAGUUGAAAUGCAAAUCUUCUUUUUAUUGCCUUCACUUGAAAUAACAGCACCUGCAGCCAUGGGCCAGCCAACCCCUUGGGCAGACCCUCAUCUGGCUGCCAGGUGCCUGGGCUCCAGCAAAGUGUCCAGAGGAGCUGGGACCUAGCUGUGUUAAGUAGUAUCCUUCCUAAAUGCACUAACUGUAGAGAUCACAAUGAAGAGAAAUGGUUGCAGCAAUGGUGAAUGAAGGAUUUUGUCCCUCAUUAGGCAGGUUUGAGCUCAAGGCUCUGCUACAGCUUUGUCAUCUCAGCCCAGCACUUUUGCUACAUGGCAGAAUUCAAGCGUGCAGAUUUCAAACGGGCUUUCCAUGGGUACUCAUGCAAUCCAGACUCCAUCCCUUGAAUGUCUAUGGAAAGCAAACAGAAAAGAGAUGGGAAAUCUUGGCAAAGGGAAUCCAUUUCCAAACCACAGCCCAGUUAACACAGUCCCUGCUGCAUCCUCUGGAUGUGAAAGGUAAAACCACAGAUCAGAAACGAGUCAGCAUCAGUCAGCCACAUCUUGGACAGGACACCAGCUCUCCAUGAGUGUUUGCUGCCAUUCAUACUGCCGCUUAUCUCUCUUUCUGCAUAACAUGGUUAUAAAUAAUUAUGUAUUGUUGUCUCUCUGCACUCGGUGCUGGUGAGGCUGCACCUCAAGUACUGUGCUCAGUUAUGGGCCCCUCACUACAAGAAAGAGAUCAAGGCCCUGGUGCAUGUCCAGAGAAGGGCAAUGAAGCUGUGAGGGGUCUGGAGCACAAGUCUUAUGGGGAGCAGCUGAGGCAGCUGGGAUGGUUUGAUUUGGAGAAGAGGAGACUCAGAGGAGACCUUAUCAAUCUCAGCAAUGACCUGAAAGGAGGUUGUGGUGAGGUGCCUCAGCCUCUUCUCCCGAGUAACAGUGAUAGAGUGAGAGGCUCAGGUUGGAUAUUAGGAAAAAAUUCUUCUCAGAAAGAGUGGUGAUGUAUUGGGAUGGGCUAAUUAGGGAGGUGAUAGAGUCACCAUCCCUGGAGUUGUUCAAGAAACGUGUAGAUGUGGCACUGAGGGACAUGGAUAGUGGGCAUUGUGGGGGUGGGUUGUUGGUUGGACUCAAUGAUCUUAGAGGUCUUUUCCAACCUCAGUGAUUGUGUGACUCUACGAAAAGGACACUCUUAACCAAUAACUCAUGUAAAUCUGAGUAAGAGAUGGAUUUAUUAUUCUAUUAGUGAUAGGACUAGAGGGAAUGGCUUCAAGCUGCUCCAGGGAAGGUUCAGGCUGGACGUUAGGAAAUACUACUUCUCUGAAAGGGUGGUCAGGCACUGGAAUGGGCUGCCCAGAGAGGUGGUGGAGUCACUGAGCCUGGUGGUGUUCAAAGAGCGUUUGGAUGUUGUGUUGAGGGACAUGGUUUAGUGGGAACCAUUGGUGAUGGGUGAAUGGUUGGACUGGAUGACCCUGUGGGUCUUUUCCAAUCUUAGCAAUUCUAUGAUUCUAUGAUACUAUGAUUCUAUGAUUCUACUAUAGAACAGUGCUUCCCAGUUAGAGUAUGGAGACCUGAGCUAGGAGGAAAGCUGUAGGAUGGGGUUGAGUUACUGGAGUCCUUCUUCACAUGAUCAAAAAGACAUAGCUGUUGUUCAGAAAAGCUCAUGGACCAACAAGACAGCCAGCAGAUAAAGGCAGGGACAAAAACAAUUGUAACAUAAAGUUGUAGGUUAAAAUAAAUUUCAGUUAUCCCAGUUGCUGCCUUUCUGUACCGCUGACAGAGCAAACCUUCAUGGUAAAAGCUGAGGAGGAGCAGGAAGGAGCCAAGGCCUUGUGGGUAAUUCAGGAGGAACAUGCUAUGCAUGCAAGGAGCUACUGAAAAAUACAUGAGAGAAGUUUGGCUAAAAAAUGUACUGUGAAAAUGCUGGCUUCCUUGGAAAACCCAUGAGCAAUAAGCAGAAAGAAGUAAAAAGGCAUCCCACUGAGAACAGACUGCUCUCAUACCUGACCUGGCUAGAAAAGAGGGCUCCUGCCCUCUCCUUGCAGCCACCAGCACCUGCACCACAAUGAGGGCUGCGGGCAGCCCAGCUGAUGCCCAUGGCAGAGCCCCAUGGAAACCCUCAGGCAGAAGGAGAGGGCCUCAGCUGCUUCAAGAUGUUACAACGGUUUCCCUACAUUCUUACAACACUUUUAGUGGCACCAGUCCUGGUCAGCACACAGUGAGGACAUUCACGAAUAGACCAUCACAGAGCUCGUUCUUGUACCUCCCCUCCCCAGCAAGAUGGGACUGGGAAGAAUAAGCACUUACAGAACCCUUGAAACAGGCCACAAUUAGAAGUGGCUGAAAAGAGAAGGAAAAAAUAACACUGUCUUUUUUUAUUUUUCACCUGAUUUCAAGAGGAAAACAAAAUUCUCCUAGUUGUAUAUCUCUAAUCUAUGGAAAGGAGGCUUCACACAGAGUUGUUUUAUUUUCUUCAAAGCAGUUGAGACAUCCCAAAUUGAUAACUUAGCAUUUCAUGUUACGAUGUCAGAAGGAGAGAUUGGGUCUUUAAAGUACUAAAAUGAUUUUUUUCUUUGCAUAAAAAGGAAUGAAUUCUUUGCUCCUAUCAUUCUGCCAUGCUCUGUGGAGAGCUCAGCGAGUCUACAGACUUUCAGGACAACCUGUCACAGCCUCUAGGAACACACUAAAUAACUGUUAACCAAAGCAUGAAAUAUGAAACACAGCACAAGACAGAAUGAAGUGAAACUCUGCUCUGCUUUCAAAUCAUGCAUAAGCAGAUUCCCGUGCAAUAGGCACAGCUGAUUUUUUCCACUUCCCCUGUGUUUCCCUUGUGUUCUAAAAAAAAAAUAGUCACAAAAUAUUCCACCUACUUCAAGUCUUUGUUAUCCUAAGCUGGAUCUUAUAAAAAAUGAGCAGGGAAAGCACCAAUACAUCUGCAGAUGUGCUUUACUUGCUGGUUUUUAAGUCAGGAGAGCAGCGCAGCUGCCCCUGGAGGGUUUCUCUCCAUGCCCCCAAGUAGUUGGGGUGCAGGUGGGGCUAAGAUCACCCUUGCCCAGCUCCAAGGUGGCAAUUUAUGGAUGUUGUUAUGUAUAGGGUGCACAUUAAAAUCACCUAAAUGUGGUUAUUCGGUCCUUUUCACUCCGCUUUGCAGCUCUGCAGCUCUUUGCUGGUGAGCCAGCUUCCAUCCUGGCUCAGGCUAUGGUUGAGAUUUGGUAACUCAGCCCACACUUGUGCAGUCGAGCAGCUUCCAGUGCUGUGCAGAGCUGCAGCUUCUGCCUUCCUCCUUCCCACACAAACAGGCCCAAAACCCUAUGGCUUUCAGUGAUGGAUCUCCCUGCAGCAUAGCCAUGUUUGGAAGGAAAAAACCCACAGAUGUAUGCUCUGCCUUGCAGCUUCAUUGGAAGAAACAAGAGUAGCAGGCUCUGGAAAUAAAUCUGCCUCUCGCUCAGCACCAGAUCACCGACAAGUGUUCGUCCAUCUGCCAUCAGCAGUCAAACCGUGCGUCCGUCGGUGAGGUGUUACAGUGGUGUAAUUGAGUGAGGCUGUUUUGGAGUGGGCUCCGUGCCCACAUGGUGGGGCUGCUGGGGACUGAGAUGCUCCUCGGGAUCUUCUGGUGAUGGGUGGGAAUGGUGGAUCGGUGCCAGUGAUGGAGGGAGCUCAGCACAGCUGUCCCUCAAAUCCUUGUGCUGGGGUCUCAUCUGCAGCUCCUCGUAUCAGUUACUGGCCCCAGCACUGAACCUCUGCCCUAGCAUUUGGGUGUCAGUCCCUAUUGUCAUCACUCAUUCUGUGAUGUCCUUACACGGGCAGAAGGCGCACGUGCUUGUGUUACAUUCCCUGCAAUAUUGCAGCAGCUGGCAGUGUGACCUGUGCUUCCCAGGGCGGUGAUGUCCCUCCAGGGGCUUGGCUGGUCAUGGAACCCACAGACGGAGCCAUCAAGUUCUGCAAGGCCUCCCAAAAAUGUUGCCUGCAUCUGCACCACUGUGUCCCAUAACACUGCAAUGUGACAGAGACCCCAAGGAAAAUGGAGUCAGGAAGAUUAUGCUGAAGUUAUAGCUCAUUAAAGGAAAGCACACAGAGAUGUUUUUAUGUCGCUGUUACUUAUAAAAGAGCCAGUUAAGACCGCUUAUUACAGUAAUUACAGCAGCGUAAAGAGAGACCUAGCAAAGAUUACAGCACUUAGUAUACCAUCAUUGGGGCUUAAAUGAAACAUAUUUAGGACUCAAACAAGGCAUUUCCCACGUGGCAGGGCAAGAGAUGAAGAGGGCAGGAGAUGUCUGCAUGGGUAGCUUGGGUGGCUGCAGUGUCCCCAGCCCCAAGAGAGGGGCAGAGUUGGGACACAGGACCAGGUGGGUGACUUUUCAGGGGACAGCUUAAGGAACUCUUCUUAACCACCUCCAUCACACCGGCUGCUGCAGGGAUCAUGAAUCAAGAAAGAAACUGUGAAGGACCUACUUCUACCAUGUGACACGAUGCCCUAGUAAAUCCCCCGCUUACACCCCCAGCUUCCAGAGCUGGGAGGAACUGGACCAUGGAAUUUAAUAGCCCUGCUGGGACUUGUCCUCCCUUAAUUUAUCCAGACCCCCUCUGAUAAAGAAUUUAUGUUGUCACCUCUGAAGUUGGUGUCAUCUCAGACCAUGUACUCUUCUACAGCUGGAUUUAUACCAACAUCUACUUAAAACUCUCUUCAACCCUUUUCAUUACUUAUACAAACAACUUUGUCCUGCUUUGUUUCAUAAAGCCCAUAUUUUCAGAGCAGACUCUCCCACUGCAGAAUUUGCCAAAUUGAUAAAAAAAUUCCAGACUCCUCUUCCCUAUACAUCUCUCUCAGUCCUUCACAGAAUCUGCAUCUCUGCAUGGCCCCAUGCAGGGAGCAUCUCACAGGGCAUCCCUAUGCAGUCUGCUGCCUUCCUUCUUGCUGGCACUUCCAGAUAUUCCCCAGCACUCUCUAAGAUCAUAGAAUCAUAGAAUGGCCUGGGUUGAAAAGGACAAUAAUGAUCAUCUAGUUUCAAUCCCCUGCUAUGUGCAGGAUCACCAACCACCAGACCAGGCUGCCCAGAGCCACAUCCAGAUGCUCCAUGAUGUCUGUCACUCUCACCUUGCAAGGGUGAAGCCCUCACAGAAAUCACAAACCUGGUUUGGCUACUCUUGACUCUGUGGUUUAUGAACUGACUGCAGUGUCUAUAAUUUCUAUCCCACUUCCACAAGGUCACGGGGUCUCAGUAGGUGAUGCUCACUGCAGUACUCAUGCCUCCACAGCUGCAUUUUUAACCAAACACUGAUUCACUCUCAGCUGGUUUGCUUUUCCUUGAAUUAUUUCUUCAUUCACAGUUUGCUGAGGAAUCAAGACUGGAGAUGCCUGCAGCCAUCUCCUCUCCCACAGCUCAGCUUCUGCUGCAGCCAAAUUCUCCUUCCUUUGAUUGGCUCUGCAGCCCUAGGGGGCACCCAGUUGAGCACACACUGCACAUGAGAUGAUGCAGAUCGUGUUUUCUCUCAAAGGAGUACAAUGUGUGUUUGGCUCCACACAACUGGAUUCCAGUCUCCCAGAAGGAAGCAUGGCAUUCGACAAGGCGUUGCUCAGGUUGGGUUGUCAGGUUACAGCCAUCUGGAGUAUGUGGGAAGCCAGGUCAGCCAGCAGCAUACGUUUCACCCCUUAACAAAUAUCCAGAUGGUGCUUGCCCUGCUGAGCAGUGUCCUUUACAACAUCAGUGGCCUUGCGUGGAGCUCUUCUCCAGUUGCCCUCACAGAAAAGGGUAGGACAGGAAAAAUACAGGAAAACAUUUUCCUUUUUAAAUCCAAUUUAGGGGAUUUAGAAAGGACAUGAUGAUUUUUUAAGGGCUCCUAUGACGUGGUGGUGAAAAUGAGCGUGCAAACAAAUGCGUGUGAGAACUAAUGAUUUGUGUGCCAGUGUUCAGCAGGGGAUUGAGUUCCUAUUAAUUGCAGAGGAGUUGGGCUAGGUGACCUUUAAGGUUCCUUCCAACUGAAAUGGUUCUAUGAUACUAUGAUUCUUCACCCUUUUAGCAGAAGCUCCACGCCAGACCUUUGCUGGCCUGGGGUGGCUUUCCUGCUUGCAGUGAUGUGUGCAGGUGGCAUCACUGCUCAAAAAGGGUGGGCACUGGGGAGAUCUGGUGCCAAACCAAGCAGAUGAGUGUCUUCAGGUCACAGAAAUGGCUGAUCUUUGGGGAAUCCAUAGAAAAUCUUGACAGCUGGCAGCCUGUCCCAGGGAUACCCACCCCAGCACCCACCGCAACUGUGAUAUCCAUGGGCUCUGCAUGCACCCAUGCACCGCCCCUGCACUGAGACCACCAACACCUGACUGGCAUUAUCGCAGUUACAUGGCCAUCAACUGACUGCCCCUAUUGAGAACAAGCCUGAUUUACACCAGUGUAACCCAGCCAGCUUGGAUUUCCACCUCUGCAGCUGUAAGCAGAUGCAUCAGUUCUCCGUAGCCAAGCCUGCUUCUGAAACCUGCUCUCUUUUAUAGAGCCAGAUGUGUUUGAAUACCAGAGUUGAGCAGACACCUCCGACUGGCUGAUGCAUGCCUGGUUCAUUUUUCCAUUCAAUCCAUUUUCUCUGAAAAUGAGAUAUAAGCAAUGAAUUCAAUACAGUUUUAUUGGAUCCAAUGCACUGCCACUAAAACAAAUAUAUGUACACUCAGGCCACUACACUUUUAUUAAAACAAAUAGAAUUUAAUUCAAACCAGCAUUCAAUAGCUACGGCUUGGGUUUGUGGGGUUUUUUUUUCCUUUUUUUGUGAGUGUGUAUGUUUUAAAAGGGAUGAAAUUAAAUCCUCCUGGUACUUCUCAGUAUGUUCUCACAAUCAGAUUCAUUUGACCUAGGCAAUGUGUAUUUAUUAUAGGUAACACAUUUUUAUUAAACAGAAAUUUACAGAAACUAGAUGCAGACAGAAACCCGAACCACAUGUAAGGUUAGAUCAGGAGGACAGGGAGGAGGGUUCUCUGAUGGUUAUUUGUUAUGCUGGUAAAAAGCACUCCGUUCUACUCAGGAUUUAUUUCUUUUUCAGACUACCACACUUGGGGUGAUGGAUUUCUUCUCAAAAAAGAACUCUUGGAAGUCAGUGACUUUCUAGAAAAACCACACUGGCAGAUACAGGUAGACCAUGGAGAAGUGUUCACUGUUCUCUACAGCGGGACAAUAGGACUAAAAUACUUGAUAAGUAGAGGGGCUGUGGUGACGGGUGUGGAGCAGGGGUCUGGUGCAGUGAGAUCAACACAGAAAUGAAACUGGGUCAUCGUUUACAACAGUGAUAUUUGCUUAAUCACAUUUCCACACCUGUGUUCAUAGGUGAGAUUUUUUGCAGACAUUUUAGAAAGUCUUCUUCCUUUUCUCAUAAUGUGUUCCUGAAAGUCCAGCCCAGAUUUCCAUGUCUGGUGAAUAAAAACCAUAAUUUUACAAAAGCCCUAAUUUGCACUUCCUAAACCUUUACAGCACAUCAUUCCUACGGACCCAUCCUUUGAAAAGGAGAGGUCAUCACCUUUCCUAGUCCCGUCUCUUUUUCCACUUCAGUUUCUCAGAGAAUGGUGUAGACCUCAGGGUAACAGUUUUAAAUUGAAAGAG